CAAGAAAAGUAACACUUUAUACACCUUUACAGCCCUAGGAGUGAAGCAUGAUGCUGAUGACAUUUUGUGCUUGAAAUUAGGCCCUCCCCACUGAUUUUAGAGUCUGGAAGACGGGCAUUCCUAUUAAAACCUUGGCCCUAGGUGCAUCUGGUUGGCUCAGAGACCCACACUUAAUUUCGGCUCAGGUCAUGAUCUCACAUUUGUGACAUAGAGCCCGUCUUGAGUGUGAAGCUUGCUUGGGAUUCUUUCUCUGCUCUUCCCCUCACUCAUUCCCUCUCUUUCUCUCAAAAUAAAAACAAACCUUAGCCUUGACACUGAUACUAUUGAUAUGAAGUAGUGUUUAUUGAACACAUUAUUUUCUAAACUUGCUUUAAAAAAAUUUCUUUUAAUGUUUAUUUAUUUUUGAAAGAGAGAGAGAGAGAGAGAGAGAGAGCGAGCAUGAGUGUGGGAAGGGUAGAGAGAGAGGGAGGAAGACACAAAAUCUGAAGCAGGCUCUGGGCUCUGAGCUGUCAGCACAGAGCCUGAUGCAGGGCUCGAACUCACAAGCUGCGAGAUCAUGACCUGAGCCAAAGUCGGAUGCUUAACCGACUGAGCCACCCAGGCGCCUCUCUAAACUUGCUUUUUAAGUCAGAAGGUUGGAAGGACAGAAGGUUGGAAAGGACCUCUAGGGUUUUCCAGCUUCAGCCUCAAUCAGAAGUUCAAGGCCAUGUACAAAAUCACUGCCCAGUGACACGUCGUGUUCUGCUUGAAUUCCUCCGGAGACAUGGGGCUUACAGCCCUCUGACAGACCUGCUCUUUGAACCUUGCCCCAGGAGAAAACAUGAAAAGAACUGAGGAUCUUUAAGCUGGAAAGCAGAAAUUCCUGGGACCCUAAGGCACCCACUGUCUGGGAAGCAGGUUUGGGAGCAACAUGACGAGAACUUUAACAUGAGACUGAACUCAUUUCAGCUUGGCCCACUCUUGAAUUCUCCGUAGAUCAAAGCAGCUUAACCAAGAAUGUCAGAAAGCAAGCAUUUUCUGAAUUAACAAGAACCACCACCACAAUCUUUCAAGAAGAAGAAGAAGAAGAAGAAGAAGAAGGGGAGGAGGAGGAGGGGGAAGGGGAGGAGGAGGAGGAAGAACACCAGAGGAAAUAUAAAAGAGAUUUCAACCAGACGACUCUCACCUAAAAAGUUCUUGUAAAAAUAGGUAGAUCAUGUAUCUGUCCCACAUUGCCUGGGUCUCUAAAGCCCAGAUAACAAAAAUCAGUUCAAAUCCUUUUUUUUUUCUCUCUAAAAUAAGAAUUUAUGGAAUGCUGUUGCCUUUUAGAGGCUGGGAAAGUGGGAAACACCGUGAAGCUGAGCUUUGGCGUGAUAACCACCGCCACCGCCGGGUGUCACACACCAAGGCGAGGCGCUGUGCCAACCGCGGCAGACACGUUACUUAAUUUCACCCCCUUGGAGCCCUGUGAAGCAGAUAUCAUCGUCCCAUUUUGCAGGCCCCAGAGAACGUAUUUCAUGACCCAGGAGUCAAACUCGAAAUUUUUCAAACUGCAAAGUCUUGACGCUUAGCCCCUGUACUCCCCCUGCCUCAUGCUGUAUUUCAGGUACCCGCCAGAUCCAUUAUCAUUCACUCCCAUCACCUUUAGCAAGACUCCCAGAACCAUUCCCAGCUCAGCUAAGGGCAGAAAACACAGAACUCGUGGAGUGCUUGUCCCUUAAUGUCUUGAAGGCAAUACCAGUGCGAUCUAGAUCAGGACUUCUCAACCUCAGCAUUACGCAUGCUUUGCCUGGGAUAAUUCUUGGGGGGGGGGGGGGCUGUCCCGUGUGUGGUAUGAUGCUUAGUAGCAUCUCUGUCCUCUGCCCACUAGAAUCCAGCAACAUCCCUUCCCACCACCCGUCGUGGCAACAAGAGUAUCUCCGGACAGGGCCAAGUGUCCACUGGGUGGAAGACACUGCCCUCAGUUGGAACCACCCAUCUAGACGUCCAGACCAUCGGCGGGGACUCAACACCUCAUCCCUGCCCCACCAACUUUGCUCUCUAUGCUUUGCGUACUCCUACCUUGAAGCAACAGACCUGGCAAUCCCACAGCAGGAUGGGCAGGAAGAGAGUGGCUGUGAAGAACUCAGUAACAGGUGAUCUCUAGAAGUCAGGUAGGUUGGCAGCUGGCAUCGGGUUUCCGGAUUUUUCCACAUAGGCCAGUAUUUUCUUUUAUUUUUUCUUUGUUUUAAAAAUUUUGUUUUUAACGUUUAUUUAUUUUUGAGACAGAGAGACACAGAGCAUGAGCAGGGGAGGGCAGAGAGAGAGGGAGACACAGAUUCGGAAGCAGGCUCCAGGCUCUGAGCCAUCAGCCCAGAGGCCGACGUGGGGCUCGAACUCACGGACCAUGAGAUCGUGACCUGAGCUAAAGUCGGACGCUUAACGGACUGAGCCACCCAGGCGCCCCAGGCCAGUAUUUUCUUGACGAAAACGUCAAUUUUACUUCCCCUCAUGUCAAGUCUUUUACACAAAGACCAUUCUUAGUAUGUUUCUAUUUUAAAGGUCAUAGAUGUGAAGACUAGGAAAACUAGGCAGAAAAAUGCUCACGACAAUGAAAAGAGCAGGUGACAAAAACUGUAUGAACUCUGUCGUGGCAUCUAACGUGACAAGAGAAAUGAUGGAAUGAAGGAUUAUGGGUGGUGUCUUCCUCCUUUUUCUAAAUUCCCUUCCUCCUCUUUCUAAAGGUAACUUCCAACGUACCUUCGUAAUUUAGAAGGUAAAAUUCCAGAUGGUGUCCCCAGACGUAGGUCUCCCUACCCCCCUCUCCAGGUCGUGUCUCCAGAGCAGUAACCUCACAAUGAACAAUUACUACCUGCU